rnacentral:lncRNA from 1 species
CCCAAGGUAUUUUAUUCUUUUUGUUGCGAUUGUGAAUGAUAUUGUGUUCUUGAGUUCUUUUUCUGUUAGUUCGUGAUUAGAGUAUAGAAAUGCUACUGAUUUAUACUCUCUCUUUGGCUCUUCUCACUUGUUUGCUCUGAUGAAGCAAGCUGGCAUGUUGUGAACUAUCUUAUGGAGGUGCCAGCAUGAUAAAGAACUGAGGACGGCAUCAGGCCAACAGUAAGUGAGAAACUGAGGCCCUUAAUCCAACAGCUGGAGAGGAACUGAAAUCUCUCAGCAGCCACUGAAGCUUAGAGACAGUUCCUCCACCAGUCCUGUUUUAAGAUGACUGCAGACCCAGCUGACAGCUUGAUUGCAGCCUUCCAAGAUGAUCCUCGUGAGAGAUCCAGGGCUGGAGGAUCCAGCUAAGCUGUGCCUAGAUUCCUGAUUUGCAGAAACAAUGCAGAUAUCUGCUAUGAAAAGGUGCCCUUUGGUGUACCUAGCUUAUAGUAGGUACUCAAAAAUAUUAAUUGAAUGAACUAAUGAAUACAUAAAUGAGAACAGUUAGAAAUAUAGCACUGGAAUUUAGCUAAGAUUUCAUAAAUGAAUUAGCAUUCUGAUGACCAGAGAAAUAUUUUUAUAUGGUUAAAACAUUUAGCCUUAUGGCGUUGGUGGAGAUGCACAGAAUAUGUUGAACAGUAAGACAUGACUGUAAUCUCCCACCAUGUAGCAGAGGUGUUCAUUUCCACAGCAAUAUGAUGACAAGAAAAUAAGAAAUAAGGGCAUUUAAUCUGUGGCAGAAAUGGCGUGAUGGUUAUUUUUACAUGUCAACUUGGCUAGGCUAUAUAUAUGGUUAUUUAAUCAAAUUCUAAUCUGGGUGUUGCUGUGAAGGUAUUUUAUAAAUGUGGUUGACAUGUACAAUCACUUGACUUUAAGUAAUCUGGGUGGGCCUCCUCCAAUUAAUUAAAGGUCUUAUGAGCAAAAACUGAGGUUUUCUGAAGAAGAAUUUCUGUCUCAGGACUAUAGUGUCAGUUUCUGCUUGAGUUUUCAGCCUACUGGCCUGUGGAUUUCAGAUUUACUGGCCCCUAAAAUGGUGUGAGCCAAUUCUUUAAAAUAAAUCUCAGUCUCUCUCUCUGCCCCUCGCACACAUCCUAUUAUUCCUUUUUCUCUGGAGAAUCCAGACUGAUACCGAUUGCUACUGCUCAGGGAGAAUGGAUGUGUG